UACGGGGGGAGCAAGCGUUGUUCGGAUUUACUGGGCGUAAAGGGCGCGUAGGCGGUCAGCACAAGUCAGUUGUGAAAUCUCCGGGCUUAACUCGGAUAGGUCAACUGAUACUGUGCGACUAGAGUGCGGAAGGGGCAACUGGAAUUCUCGGUGUAGCGGUGAAAUGCGUAGAUAUCGAGAGGAACACCUGCGGCGAAGGCGGGUUGCUGGGCCGACACUGACGCUGAUGCGCGAAAGCCAGGGGAGCGAACGGG
rnacentral:rRNA from 1 species